ACAUCAAGGAUUCCCAUGGACAUGUGGUUGUCCAUUGCACAUAUAUUGAUAGGAAUGUUCAGCUCCUUUUUAGGUAAGUUCUAAGCACUACCUCUUUCAGUGACAACAUGUACACUCAUGUAUUUAUAUUGCGAUGUUGCUUGCUUUCGACCAUUGUGACACGGACACACCGCCACCAAUAUUUUUAUCUAACACGAUUAAGAAGUAGGAAUGCAAUGUUCUUUUAGCAUUUUUCCUUUGGUUUGGAGGGGACCCAAGAAAUGCUACAUGCUUUAUUUGCUUCUAAUGAAAAUGAUUGAUCUGUCAUCGGUUCCAAGUGAUAGAUCUGUCGGCUAAUCGUCUCAAGGAGAAGGAUCCAUCCCUGAUUCUGUACCUGCACUUAAAAGCGCACAAUGUCGAAAGAGAACUUGACAUCAGAUGCAAUUUCUCUGUCUUAGAAAAUAUGCCUCAAACUUUCUGACAUAAAAUAUUCCUUAACAUAUUUAACAUAUAGUCUAAUUGGUAGGUCCUCCUAAUGGAUACAAGAGAGUCACGGUAAGCUCAGAAACAUAUUUUGAAUUAACGUAGAUUGGCUUUGAGAGGUAAAAAAAUAUGGACCUCAUGUAGAUAAAAUAGAUACAUUUAUUCUAUUAUGGCUAUGAAAUGACCUAAGUGAUGAGUAAAAUAUGCAGGUCCACCACAUAUAUAUCAAUGGAAAUGCAAUGUAGAUAUUUAAGUAGUGAGUACAUAAAGCGCUUAAAGGUAACUUAUACAAAUAUCUGUUAUAUUCUUAGACAGGAUCAAGAAAAAUGUCCCUUCCAAUGAAAGUAAUAGGUCAACAUGUCUUGAUUUCACCAGGUGCCGUUGCUCAAGUUGCAGCCGGAGGUUGCAGCUACACAGGACACAAAUUCAGGUGCAUUUUACACCUACAUAUCUUCCUACAAACAUGUUUUUUCUCCUAACAUUUUGUAUGUUACCGUAAAAUUACUUUGUACACUAUAGAUAUAAACGGUUUCAUCUCAGAUGACACAACAACUGAAAUAUUUUGCUUUGACAACAUUGCUAAACAUAUUCUUGGAAAACCUUAUGAACCCUGAUGUUGUGAACACCUUUAUGCAGUAGAUAGCUAAUGUAUUUUUAUGAUAUUAAUUAUGCCCCUAGGACAUGUUGCUACAACAGACCCUUCUGCGUGUAAGUAUAGGACUAUAGGUGAUAGGUUGAUAUCUCAGGCUACCAACCAACAAACUUUCUAGAAACGUACUUAUGCUGGUGAGUACAAUGCUGCUUGGAACAUGUUGAACUAAUAUGGUUAAUAUAUUUUUUAUGGCUUUUGUUGUACUCGAUUAUACAAGCCUACAUAUAUUGCAUCAUUAGUACAAGCAAAUCUUCUAUACAUGGGCUUCUACCUGCCAACUCUUUUCUAUUGACUUUACACUAUGAGUUUCAUGAUAACUUACUUAUCAUGUUUCUUACAUACAUAUACUGAGUUUUAUAUUAACUUAUAU
rnacentral:lncRNA from 1 species